UGUGGUGGUACUUAAUGUAUGACAUCGGUUUUAAAAAACACAUGUUAAAGAGGUCAAAUAGUGUAGUCUUAUUGAAUUAAUUUAAUUAAUAAUUAAAAAAUACUUCAAAUCCCUACUUAAUCCUACCACACAAAUUAACCGCGUCUGCUCUUCACACCCGUCGCUGCGCUCUGCCGCGCCUCCGCGCGCUGCCUGCUCAGCCAUCUCCCUCCGCCGCCUGCCUGCGCGCCGCCUGCUUCGCUUGCUCCGCCUAGCUACUCAGCGCGCCGCCUGCUUCGCUUGCUCCGCCUACUCCGCGCGCCGCCUGCUCCGCUGCCUGCUGCGCCGUCUGCUUCGCCUGAUCCGCCGCCGCCUAAUUCGCCUGCUUCACCUGCUCCGCCGCCGCCUAAUUCGCCUGCUUCACCUGCUCCGCCGCCGCCUGCUUCACCUGCUCCGCCGCCGCCUGCUCCGCCCCCUACCUGCCUGCUCCGAUAUGCUCAGCCCCUAAUUCGAAACCCUAGCCUAAAAUCAGGUAAUAGCUGAAUGGUGUCUAGCUUUUCCACUUCUGUUCGAUUUUUUCUUUUGCGAAUAUGUUGAAAGUAGGCGAAAUGUGGGGAGGAGAAGAAGAUAUGCAACUUUGAGAUUCUUGUUAUGUAAAUUUGGUUAUUUUCAGAAUUGGAUUGAGCUUCAUUUUUUUUUCUUCCUUUUUUUUGCUGUUUGUUUGGAUUCUUAACGCUGUGUGUAUGACUCAUUGGGCGUGGUGCUGGAUUACUGAAAUUUUAAUUUCUACGAUUUUGAGCUUUGGUUCAUUUUUGUUGAUUGUGCUUCGACUUCUGUAGUGUGGAGUAACUAAUAUUUGAAGCGUUAGUGUGCUUGAAGUCGUUGUAUUUUAAUGAAGGAGCAGCAUUGGACUUAUGUGUUUGUCUUGCUCUUUUAGUUCAGUCCAUGACCGAUUGUUUUCCUCAUUCCUUAUCAAGAGCUAUUUGCUGGCCUUUAGAAGAUUGAACACGAGUGUUUAUAGGAUGUAGGCCUGCUUUUCUUGACUUAUUGCAUUGUAUAUUGGAAGAGAGAUGUAGUUAUUUGGGUUUUAUUUAUUUCUUGAUGUUUUUCCAUCGGUGGUAUGGUUGAUCUGCAGUGAUGGUGCGCGGUCUUGCUUUCCUCUUCUGUAAUUGUUGAGCGUAUUUGCGUAUGCAUUCAUUGUGUCUGUAUGUAAAGAUAAUGAAGCCCUUGCUUUACUUUCUUCAGAUUCUGCUCUCUGGCUUUGCUGUUGAUAUCUA
rnacentral:lncRNA from 1 species